rnacentral:rRNA from 1 species
GGGCCCGCACAAGCGGUGGAGCAUGUGGUUUAAUUCGAUGAUACGCGAGGAACCUUACCAGGACUUAAAUGUAAGUUGCAUGAUUCAGAAAUGAAUCUUUCUUCGGACUACUUACAAGGUGCUGCAUGGUUGUCGUCAGCUCGUGCCGUGAGGUGUCAGGUUAAGUCCUAUAACGAGCGCAACCCCUAUCGUUAGUUGCCAUCAAGUAAAGUUGGGAACUCUAGCGAAACUGCCGGUGCAAACCGAGAGGAAGGUGGGGAUGACGUCAAAUCAUCACGGCCCUUACGUUCUGGGCUACACACGUGCUACAAUGGUCGGUACAGAAAGCAGCCACUAUGCGAAUAGGAGCUAAUCUCAGAAAGCCGGUCAUAGUCCGGAUUGGAGUCUGCAACUCGACUCUAUGAAGCUGGAAUCGCUAGUAA